rnacentral:rRNA from 1 species
UACGAGGGGAGCAAGCGUUGUUCGGAUUUACUGGGCGUAAAGGGCGCGUAGGCGGUCGUGACAAGUCACUUGUGAAAUCUCCGGGCUUAACUCGGAACGGUCAAGUGAUACUGUCGGACUAGAGUACAGAAGGGGCAACUGGAAUUCUCGGUGUAGCGGUGAAAUGCGUAGAUAUCGAGAGGAACACCUGCGGCGAAGGCGGGUUGCUGGGCUGAUACUGACGCUGAUGCGCGAAAGCCAGGGGAGCGAAGCGGG